rnacentral:lncRNA from 1 species
UGGCGUCACCUGCGGAAAGGACUGAAGGAGCUGCGGACCAUGCGUUGCCGCCAACAUCGCCCACAGGGGUCGAGGAACGUCCCGUCGAUACCCCCCCGGUAUUUCACCGAAGGAGACCAUCAUCCAUUGGAAAGCACGAACUAGCACCGGCCAGUGGGACUUUGUCAGCAAAAUCUCGAGCCUUGGACGCUUUCCUCCAAGGUGUUCUUUAUUACAGCCUGCUUCAGCAUGUGUACCCGAGCCGGCCCAGUCAAGGCUCUGACGGGAGACUGCAACAAGGCCGUCAGCAAUUUCCCGGCUUUCGCUCGAGCCUUCCGGUGUCCGACUGGUUCGCCCAUGAACCCACUGGAGAAGUGCCUUUAUUUCGACUGAGCCGCGCAAGCUAACUUCCUCCGAAGGAUGCUGUCGGCGCUUGUCUUGAAUGUCUCCUUCGCAUUGUACAUGAUGUCCCCUAACGUUUUGUGC